rnacentral:misc_RNA from 1 species
AUUAGGGCUUUUCCUAUUAAGCGAUAAGAGAGUUCUGUGCUCACAGAAUAACAUUCGUUGCCGCCUCCUAUAGCAGUGUCUGCUCUUCGUAACCGUCACCGUCAACCAUGAUCAUUCCAGAGAAAAACCGCCGCGAGAUCUCGAAGUACCUCUUCCAAGAGGGAGUUUGCUUUGCAAAGAAAGACUUCAAUCUUGCAAAACACCCAAACAUAGAUGUGCCAAAUCUACAGGUUAUUAAGCUGAUGCAGAGCUUCAAGUCAAAGGAGUAUGUUCGUGAAACCUUUGCAUGGAUGCACUACUACUGGUACCUCACCAAUGAUGGUAUUGAGUUCCUGCGAACUUACCUCAAUUUACCAUCUGAAAUUGUGCCUGCUACGUUGAAGAAGCAAAACAAGCCUGGUGGCAGGCCCAUGGGAGGCCCACCCGGUGAUCGUCCACGUGGUCCAUCUCGCUUUGAUGGAGAGAGGAGAUUUGGUGGUGAUCGGGAUGGAUACCGUGGAGGACCCCGUGGACCUGGUGGUGAUUUUGGUGACAAGGGUGGAGCUCCUGCUGAUUAUCGACCUACCUAUGGGGGCAGCAGUGGAAGACCUGGCUUUGGCCGUGGUGCAGGUGGUUUUGGUGCAGGGCCUGCUAGCUCAAAUCUCCCUUGAGAUAAUGCUCUCAAGAUUUAAGCUUUUGACAUUUUCAAUUCCGGGCGGGAGUCAAUAUGCUUUGCUGCAAAAAGUUAAUACUAGCGGUUGAUAGAUAUAGUUUAAUGUGGUAGAUUGCUGUUUGGAAUCAUUUCAAAUUUUGCCAUCUUUGCUUUUGCUGAAUUGAAUUUUGGAAGAACUACUGUCGCGUAUUCUAAUUUAUAAAGAUGCACAAACC